UUGAGCUUCCUCGAAGAAAGACAAAGCACAGGCUUUUCUGGACGUGGCGAUCUUCUUGAUUUUAAGUGGGUAUUUACUUUAUUUUUGCUCGUCUCGAUCAAUUGGCUUCUUGCUCUUUUCCACCAUUGAUUUUGUAUUUUAGGACGAUUAGGGAUACCAAUUGUUACUGAUUGUGUUGUUCUGAAUUGGGUUUGUGUGUGAUAUGAAUGAGUUUGAUGAAAUUUGUUUCCGCUGUCGAUCGAUAGAUUAACUUGGGUUUGAAAUAAUUUUACUAACCGGGUGCGAUUGGAUUCAACAAUGUGGACUUUCCAGUCUAUGAAAUAUGAACACUCAAAACACAUAUGGUGUAUAAUAAUUGUAAGUUCUUGCUUUGCAUAAUUCUUCUAGCAAGAUGGAUGAUGCUUUCAGUAGCUUUGAAGUUGUUUAAGGGAAGAGGAUGCAUAGUAGCAAGAUUUAGUGAGAAACACCGUCCUCAAUGUUAUCUCCCGUUUGUCCAAGUCCGAGAUUUCUGGGCUUCAACAUUACCGUCAAAUGCUUUCAACUUUCAAUUAACCCUGGACUCUGAUUAAUAUGCCUACAGAGCGUGCCAGCAUGGUGAUGAAGAAAACCAAGUCUGCAUGCACAAAGAGUAGAAAAUUAGCCACUCAAACUCUAUGAGAGUAAUUGUGUGAUAGAGUAAAAGCUUGAUCCUUUAAUAUAUCUGAUAGCUGCAAAGGGAAGGUGAUAGUUCACUCUUGAAGAAAAUGCUAGAGCUUCCUACAAUUUGGAUACUCUUUGAACUACAGAGCCUUCUGAGAAAGAACCGAUUCAGAUCACCCAAUUAGUUUUGCAGUGGAUGUGAUGCUCCCUUGAAAAGUCAUGCUAUGAAUUAGCUACACAUGUUACUGUCAUCAAUUUGUUAUUUGAUGAGAAAAAAGCUGAAGCUGGAGAGUGGGCUGAAUACCAUGUGGAAGCAGUUAAAACUAAAUGGAUCCCUGCAGUCAAGGAACAGUGGUCAGUGGUGAAAGCAUUUGUUGAACCUCAACAAAGCCUAUUGAAGCUUAUACAUCAAAAGUACAUUAGCUCCCCAUGUUAUAAAGGCAUAAGAAUUUGUUGAUCCU